rfam:Rattus norvegicus chromosome 17, whole genome shotgun sequence.
CAAAAGGCUCUUUUCAGAGCCCCUCCAUUAUCACCAGAAAGGAGCUG